GACGAACGCUGGCGGCGUGCUUAACACAUGCAAGUCGAACGGAAAGGCCUGCUUUCCCUUGUGGAUUGCGGGUACUCGAGUGGCGAACGGGUGAGUAACACGUGAGUGAUCUGCCCCCAACUUGGGUAUAAGCCUGGGAAACUGGGUCUAAUUCCCGAUAGGACUGCAGGGUGGUGCCUGUGGUGGAACACGAUUUUCUAGUGGUUGGGGAUGGGCUCGCGGCCUAUCAGCUUGUUGGUGGGGUAAUGGCCUACCAAGGCGGCGACGGGUAGCCGGCCUGAGAGGGUGGACGGCCACAUUGGGACUGGGAUACGGCCCAGACUCCUGCGGGAGGCAGCAGUGGGGAAUAAUGCAGAAUGGGCGGAAGCCUGAUGCAGCGACGCCGCGUGGGGGAUGACGGCCUUCGGGUUGUAAACUCCUUUCGACCGCGAGGAAGCCACCUGGUUGGAAGGGUGGUGACGGUAGUGGUAGAAGAAGCACCGGCUAACUACGUG
rnacentral:rRNA from 1 species